UAGGGAAUCUUCCACAAUGGACGAAAGUCUGAUGGAGCAACGCCGCGUGAGUGAAGAAGGUUUUCGGAUCGUAAAACUCUGUUGUUGAAGAAGAACACGUUUGAGAGUAACUGUUCAGACGUUGACGGUAUUCAACCAGAAAGCCACGGCUAACUACGUGCCAGCAGCCGCGGUAAUACGUAGGUGGCAAGCGUUAUCCGGAUUUAUUGGGCGUAAAGCGAGCGCAGGCGGUUACUUAAGUCUGAUGUGAAAGCCUUCGGCUUAACCGGAGAAGUGCAUCGGAAACUGGGUAACUGGAGUGCAGAAGAGGACAGUGGAACUCCAUGUGUAGCGGUGAAAUGCGUAGAUAUAUGGAAGAACACCAGUGGCGAAGGCGGCUGUCUGGUCUGUAACUGACGCUGAGGCUCGAAAGCAUGGGUAGCGAACAGG
rnacentral:rRNA from 1 species